AUUGAACGCUGGCGGCAGGCUUAACACAUGCAAGUCGAGCGGGGUGAUGGUGCUUGCACUAUCACUUAGCGGCGGACGGGUGAGUAAUGCUUAGGAAUCUGCCUAUUAGUGGGGGACAACAUCUCGAAAGGGAUGCUAAUACCGCAUACGUCCUACGGGAGAAAGCAGGGGAUCACUUGUGACCUUGCGCUAAUAGAUGAGCCUAAGUGGGAUUAGCUAGUUGGUGGGGUAAAGGCCUACCAAGGCGACGAUCUGUAGCGGGUCUGAGAGGAUGAUCCGCCACACUGGGACUGAGACACGGCCCAGACUCCUACGGGAGGCAGCAGUGGAGAAUAUUGGAAAAUGGGGGGAACCCUGAUCCAGCCAUGCCGCGUGUGUGAAGAAGGCCUUAUGGUUGUAAAGCACUUUAAGCGAGGAGGAGGCUCUUUUGGUUAAUACCCAAGAUGAGUGGACGUUACUCGCAGAAUAAGCACCGGCUAACUCUGUGCCAGCAGCCGCGGUAACAC
rnacentral:rRNA from 1 species